ensembl:lincRNA
AUGGCAGAUUUACAUACUGCGCGCUUGGAAAAUGAGAAAGUGAAAAAGCAGUUAGCUGAUGCACUGGCAGAACUUAAACUAAGUGCUGUGAAAAAAGAUCAGGAAAAGACUGAUACACUAGAACAUGAACUUAGAAGAGAAGUCGAAGAUCUGAAACUCCGCCUUCAGAUGGCUGCAGAUCACUAUAAAGAAAAAUUUAAAGAAUGCCAGAGGCUCCAAAAACAGAUAAACAAGCUUGCAGACCAAUCAGCCAAUAAUAAUAGUGUCUUCACAAAGAAGGUUGGGAAUCAACAGAAAGUGAAUGAUGCUUCAAUAAACACAGACUCAUCUGCUUCCACCUCUGCUUUAGAGAUAAAGCCACCAAUACCUUCUGCAGCAGAGACAGAUAUUGAUAUGCUGACAAAAGGUCAAGUCUAUGAAAUGACCAAAGAAAUUGCUGACAAAACAGAAAAAUACAAUAAAUAUAAACAACUCUUACAGGAUGAGAAAACUAAAUGUAAUAAAUAUGCUGAUGAACUUGCAAAAAUGGAGCUGAAAUGGAAAGAACAAGUGAAAAUUUCUGAAAAUGUGAAACUCGAAUUAGCUGAAAUGGAGGACAAUUACAAACUUCGAUUGGCAGAGAAAGACAAAGAAAUACAUAUUUUGACUUCACAGUUGGAAAACCUCUCCAGGGAGAAGGAACUUAAAAGGGUAGAAAACCAAACAGAACGGAAAAGGGAAGGUCAUAGUCUUCAGCAUGUCUCCCAGGGUCUCAACGCAUGCUCGGAGCAAAAUGGGCGUACUUUGGUGCUGUCCGGUGCACAGCCAGCUCUACAGUAUGGGAACCCUUAUGCGAUACAGGAAACAAGAGAUGGAGCAGAUGGUGCUUUUUACCCAGAUGAAAUCCAAAGGCCACCUAUGAGAGUCCCCUCGUGGGAAGACAGUGUUGUCUGCAGCCAGCCUGCUCGAAACCUUAGCCGGCCUGAUGGUUUAGAGGACCCUGAAGAUAAUAAAGAAGACGAGAAUGUGCCCACUGCCCCUGAUCCCCCAAGCCAGCACUUACGUGGCCAUGGAGCAGGCUUUUGCUUUGACUCCAGCUUUGAUGUUCACAAGAAGUGUCCUCUGUGUGAAUUAAUGUUCCCUCCCAACUACGAUCAGAGCAAGUUUGAGGAGCACGUGGAGAGUCACUGGAAGGUGUGCCCGAUGUGCAGUGAGCAGUUCCCGCCUGAUUAUGACCAGCAGGGCUUUGAAAGGCAUGUUCAGACCCAUUUUGAUCAGAAUGUUCUAAACUUUGACUAAUUAUUUUUAUUAAGAGGUAAUACGUAUCAGUAGUUUAGAAGAUACCACCUUGGACCACUAAAGAGACCAUAAAUUGUCAUGUACCCACUAUGGCACUUUUCAGACUAAGAGCUACUUUGAUUUUGGUGUUUCUAGUGUCAGGAUCAGUCUUUGGCUUAUCAAUAAAUAUAAUUUUAGCCUCUGUUAAUCUUACUUGCUUUAAGAAAAGUUCGUGUGUGUUUAUAUCUUUUAUUUAUUCCCUGGUUUGCAGAACUGUAUGAAUAAAGGAUAAAGGAAUUAUUUCAAUGUUACUACACUGAAAAAAUGUGAUAGUAUGCUAGAUUACUUAGCAGAGUAUUUACAAGUUUCUGUUGACCUUGUUGAUUGAGCAUGACUACUAAAUAUUAUGUAAUAAAAAGCAUUGAUCAUUAACAGUUUUGUGAAUUAAUUCUUUGAAUCAGAAAGGUCCGUAGUUGAGUCCAUGGUAGCUUUUAAAUGUUCUUUAGAAAUGGAACUGCAUGUAGAAUAAUAAUACAUGCUUGAAAAUAUUUUUUUUAUAUAAGAAAUGUUGGCUCUAGAAAUAGAAGGUAUAUUUUGCUAAUUUUGACAAAAAUUUUUAGAGUAACUUGAAUAUUUUUAAACUACAUUUAAUUUGUAUUUAAAAUGAAUGGGAAAAUGGAAAGAUAAGUUAGUACAAUUUGUUUUAUACAAAAUGACCUCAUAAUGUGGCACAGAAAUCACAGAAUAUGUAUCAGGACCCUUUUCACGUUUCCCUAAUGUGAGUAUAAAUUUGAAGUACUGUUCUCAGUAAGUACUUAACAAUGUAAUGUAUAAGCCCAAAUCAAAGUAAUAUGUAUCUUUAGUUAUGUCUUUGUUGUGCAGUAUUCAUCAACAUUAAAGAGGAUACGUUUUUGGAGGUCUGUAGUUUGAUUGUCAAGUUUAUUUGCAGUAGUUUUUCAUUAACCUAGAAUCCUCACUUUUUUUGUGUGUGUGCCUUGGGCCAUUAAAGGCUUUUUGUAUUUCUUUUUUAUAAUACUGUGAAUGUCAAGAAUUGUAGAAGACCAUGUGGACAGCUCCCCUUAAAUGCAGAACAGUCAUCUCUGCAUUAGUUAAACCAAACCCUGUCUCCAGGUACUGAUGCGUUCAGAGCUGGUUAAGCAGUUGCCUUUUCCCUUCAGGUAGCUCUAAGCAAUGCCGAAGCCAGCUGAGGUACUGACCUGUAACCCUUAAAUCCAGACCGGCUUCCUGUUUCUUGGCAUUGUGUUCUUUAAAAACGAUUGAGCAGAGCAGAUGGCAGAGCCAUAUAGCUCCAAAUACGUCAACUGGGUUGAGUCUCAAGAUAAGAGGCCAUGACUUCCCAGGCACAAAAGUUUACAUAUCACAAACUAAAGGACUAGCCUCCUAAAUCAUUCAAAUGCUACCCCAACUGAGAUGAGCAGAUUGGUCCUUCUACAUGCCUUCUGCCUGCAUAUUGCAGAGGUGCUUUCUCACCAACUGGCCAGCUCAGCUCACGUUACUCAUGUAAUUCCCACCGCCACUCCCUGUAUUAUCUCUUCUUGGAUAAUAAAUUGGGCAGGGCCUCGCAUCAAGAGCUUUGUUCUGUGUAUCCUCACUUGGAACGGACUGGGGUUCCUUGGCUGCCUGUAAUUAUAAGUGUUAAGUGUCUUUAUUCUCACUGUGGGUUGCACCAGAGGUGCUAGAUUGAAAUUAACUUGCCAGAAUUCCAAUAGUGUUUCCAUGUGGUUACAAAUGUAACUGCAGACUGAGAGGAAAACAAAUCACCAUAUUUGGAUUACAUUAUUAUUUAAGGGAUUGCAAUUGGGAUUACAAUAAAGAAUUGUAAAUACUAACAUUUGAUUUGCCAUUUUGGUACCUGUCAAAAAUUUUAAGGCUUGUUCUGAC